AUUGAACGCUGGCGGCAGGCCUAACACAUGCAAGUCGAACGAGUGGCGGACGGGUGAGUAAUGUCUGGGAAACUGCCCGAUGGAGGGGGAUAACUACUAGAAACAGUAGCUAAUACCGCAUACCAUCGGAUGUGCCCAGAUGGGAUGAGCUAGUAGGUGGGGUAAAGGUUCACCUAGGCGACGAUCCCUAGCUGGUCUGAGAGGAUGACCAGCCACACUGGAACCGAGACACGGUCCAGAGUCCCAGGGGAGGCAGCAGUGGGGAAUAUUGCCCAAUGCGCGCAAGCCUGAUGCAGCCAGGCCGCGCGCAUGAAGAAGGCCUUCGGGUUUUAAAGCACGUUCAGCGAGGAGGCGUUACGCGCAGAAGAAGCACCGGCUAACUCCGUGCCAGCAGCCGCGGUAAUAC
rnacentral:rRNA from 1 species